rnacentral:rRNA from 1 species
UACGUAGGGUGCGAGCGUUGUCCGGAAUUAUUGGGCGUAAAGAGCUUGUAGGCGGUUUGUCGCGUCUGCUGUGAAAAUCCGAGGCUCAACCUCGGACUUGCAGUGGGUACGGGCAGACUAGAGUGUGGUAGGGGAGACUGGAAUUCCUGGUGUAGCGGUGGAAUGCGCAGAUAUCAGGAGGAACACCGAUGGCGAAGGCAGCAAACUGGGCAUCAUCUGACGCUGAGGCGCGAAAGCGUGGGUAGCAAACAGG